rnacentral:rRNA from 1 species
CCUACGGGGCGCAGCAGGCGCGAAACCUCCGCAAUGCGAGCAAUCGCGACGGGGGGACCCCAAAUGCCACUCUUAACGGGGUGGCUUUUAUGAAGUGUAAAGAGCUUCAAGAAUAAGAGCUGGGCAAGACCGGUGCCAGCCGCCGCGGUAA